ACGUAAAUUAGUAAAUAAUGUAAUUUUACAUUAUAAUGAGAAUUAAAGUAUUAGUAAUUUAUUUUUGUUACUAAAAUUAAAUUCAGUUUGUUCCUGCAUAAAUCUUUUUAGUACUAAACUGCUUUGGAAUGAAUUUUUUGGGGGGACAACAGCAGGAUUAGGGCCAUCUUCUAGAUGCCAUCAGGUAGGUGCGCUAGCGUAGUCGUUUGUUGUAUAUCCCUUUUCCCCCUUUUUUAAAAAUGUUUGUAAGACGCCUGAAAUUUGUAUAAGAUAGUUAUAUAAGUAGUAGAAUAAGAAUUGGUGAGGCUUGGAAAAUAGAAGAGGACAGAGGAGAUGGAAGAGGAUUCCUGUGAAAUAGAAGGAAAGGAGAUAGGAGAUGUUUGAGGAGAGGAGGAGGAUUUUGUUCGCAGUAAUGUAUAUUUUUUGAAUGAAAUUUGGAGCAACUGUAUUUAGAUGUUAUUGAUAUUUUGGACAUCAAGUCAUCAAGUUUCAUUUAUUUGUGUAUUAUACAAGCCUAUCUAUUGGUGGAAAUGUAAAAUGGCAGCUGGUAUAACACCUUGUAUGAAUUAUUAGGAACUCCAAAGAACUUUUGACAUAAUUUAAACUGGGAAGAAGCUCAUAAAAAACUAGUUUAGGCUGCAGUAGUACCAGGACCAUAAAUUGGCUUCCACAACACAGAUCUCUUUCAAAAAUGAUAUCUGUUCGAGUGAUGUACUGGGCGUUAACAGUUGUUGUUACAAAUCUGCAAAUAAGUUACUACUGUGCAUACGUUUGAGGAAUGUCAAGAAAUGUUUUGAAUGAAACGAUAGUGAAAAACUUGUCCACAAAUGUCAAUUUCAAGAUACAAUCAAUAGUACUAAGAUUGAUUGGCCUCCAUUACCAUUAAGCUAUAAAAAUGUCAGCAAUAUAAAUUGGUAUUAAUGGACGUUUUGAUAGCUGUUUAAAGUCCAAGUUCCAGUUUUAAUGGAUAAUCUUUAAUGGACACAGAAAAAUGCCAUUUACUGGAUUGACUUCAACACAUGUUGCCUUUUAAUAAUGGUAUACAACGGUACAAUUGUUGUUAGAAGUUAACAAGUAGUACUAGUUGCAGAUAAUAUAUUAUGGUGGACAUCAAAAAGCUUUAAAUGGAAUGAAACUUGCAGGAAAAAUAAAGGAAAACCAUUUUAGACUGUAUACGUAAUAGUUGUUAGAGUGGAUGCAGUCCUUCAUCAAUGUGAGCUGAACAAAUUGAUGGUAAUGGACAUUUUGACAGCUGCUGUCACAACUCAACGAACAUGUUGCAGCGUUGAAGGAAAAUUUUUCAUUGGAUACAGAAAAAUGUCAGUUGUUUCAGGAUGUAAAGUUAAUAGAACCAGGGUCGGGCUCGACAUCUGUUGCCUUUUAAUAAUGGUAUACGAAAAGACAAUUGCUAUUAGAAAUUAAUAAGUCGUACUAGCUGCAAGUAAUAUUUAUGGUGGUCAUAUAAGAGAUUUAAAUGGAAUGAAACUUGUGCAGAAGAAAUCAAGAAAAACCAUUUUGAACUGCUGUUACUUAAUAGCUGUUAUAGCGGGUCCAGUUCUUCAUCAAUGGCAUAUGCUGGGACAAUUGCUGUUAAAAAUCCACAAGCUGUACUAUCUACAAAUAUUAUGGUUGACAUCAAAAAGCUUUAAAUGGAAUGAAACUUGUGCAGAAGAAAUCGAGGAAACCCAUUUUGAACUGCUGUUACUUAAUCGCUGUUAGAGCGGAUCCAGUUCUUCAUCAAUGGUAUAUGCUGGGACAAUUGCUGUUAAAAAUCCACAAGCUGUACUAUCUGCAAUUAUUAUGAUGGACAUCAAAAAACUU
rnacentral:lncRNA from 1 species